rnacentral:rRNA from 1 species
AUUGAACGCUGGCGGCAUGCUUUACACAUGCAAGUCGAACGGUAACAGGCCUUCGGGUGCUGACGAGUGGCGAACGGGUGAGUAAUGCAUCGGAACGUACCCAGAGGUGGGGGAUAACGCAGCGAAAGCUGUGCUAAUACCGCAUGUGAUCUGAGGAUGAAAGCGGGGGACCGCGCAGCAAUGUUUGGCCUCGCGCCUUUGGAGCGGCCGAUGUCGGAUUAGCUAGUUGGUGGGGUAAAGGCCUACCAAGGCGACGAUCCGUAGCUGGUCUGAGAGGACGACCAGCCACACUGGGACUGAGACACGGCCCAGACUCCUACGGGAGGCAGCAGUGGGGAAUUUUGGACAAUGGGCGCAAGCCUGAUCCAGCAAUGCCGCGUGCGGGAAGAAGGCCUUCGGGUUGUAAACCGCUUUUGGCAGGAACGAAACGGUGUCCGCUAAUACCGGGCGCUAAUGACGGUACCUGCAGAAAAAGCACCGGCUAACUACGUG